CCCUUCCCCUAUUCAUUCUCUUAAUCUCUUUCCCUUUCUUUUUUUUAUUUUCACUCUCUCUCCUCAUAUGUCGCUCCUCCUCUCUCUCUCCUUUACCAAACCCUGAAGCUCCAUUGAAGCUCCGUCCACAAGAUUAGAUCUGCAAGCUCCAUUGAAGCUCCGUCGAUCUGCAAGCUCCAUUGAAGCUCCGUCUCUUCUUCUCCCUCGAACUCCCUUCUCUCUCCAUUGAAGCGUAGAACCAAGCACAAUGGCGGUGGUCGGUGGUCGGUGGUCAGUGGUCAGUGGUCAGUAUAACCAAGCACAAUGACGGUGGUCGGUGAUGGUGACGGUCGAGUCUGAUUUCUAGGGUUCAGAUUGGUGUUCGUGUCCUACAGGAUCUCCUUGCAUCCAAGAUAACAGUCUUUGAUCCUGCACAGAAAUAGCUUCACUGACGGCAUGAUAAAAGGCCGCGAUAGCACUUUGCUCUUUGCCUGUGGCUUCCAGGUUCAGCCUUCAACUAUAGGCAACGCAGAAACAUGUUUGCUUCUCAUGGCCUCUCUGAAGUUGACUUGAUUGCUUUAUCAGGUUCACUCUGCUCCUUACAAUCAUCAUAAUUUUACAUCACUGUCUUACAAAGUUGUAGAUGUAAAUAUUAUUCCCCUUAUUUCUUAUGGAAACUAAUUAGCUUUAUCAAGUACAACUCUAUAAAUUAUAAGACUUCAUUAAAAAGUUACAGUAAUUUCAUUUCAUUCCUCUUAUUAUUUUAUACUUCUAUAGUAGCUGACAUGUUUAUACAGUUACUAAUGUUACAGUUCAAAAUCAUGUAAUACUUAUUCUUUUUAGUAAUGUUGUUUUAUUCUAUAGGUAUUAAACCACUUAUACUAUGUGUCAUUUGGUGAUUUAUCUUUGAGUUUUGUUUAUAUUUUAAAACCAUCUGUCAUAGAUGUAUCAAAUCUGUUGGUUUAGGUUGAGUUUAGUUCUAAUUAGUACAGUUUGGAUAUAUUCAGUUGGUUACGAGUAAUUUGAUUUACUUGUAGGUAUGUUGGGUUAUACCGUCAAUUAGUUUGAUAUAAUGAACAAAUGAAUGUUCUAUUCGUGUUAGUGUAUUCUGUUUGGAUCAAAUCAAGUCAUGUAAUUUCUGGAACAAAUUGGAUUUAGGUCGGGUAACUAGGAUUUUUUCCUCCACCCCCUCGCCCUCCCCACUCCGAUCUUCAUGAUCAUUGUCAUAUUGUCCCCAUUCCAUCUUCUCUUAUGGAGUCUAAUGUAAAUUGGCUUAUGUUUUUUUUUCCCUAAUGUUAUAAAGGAACACAUACAAUGGGGUUCUCACAGUGCAGCCAGUUCUCCAAGAGAAUGUACAACUACAAUAGUCAAAACAGCAUUGAUCCUACACUUAAUCAAGGAUAUGCAAAGCAACUCCAGAAAGCUUGCCCAAGAGAUGCUUAUCCGGGAACCUUCUAUAAGGGAAAGGUCUUCUUAAGAAAUAAGGGGAAAUUACUAAUUUAGGCAGGAUUGUAGCCAUUUGUAGGGUGAUAAAUAGUUAGUAUUAGUGAAUUAUCUGGAGAAAAAAAAUUGACAAAUAUGGUUUAUCAUAAUCUACUACAUUUGUUUGGUUAAUUUGUCAAUUUCUUUUGCAUCCUCAAGGUUUCUAGAGAUUGAUUCUGGAGCAUGGUCUGGGAUUGAAGAGACUGCCAGCGCUUCACAUUCUACUCAUCAUGUUGGAGCGGAUGAGGAAUUUUAUCAGUUCUUUUGCAACACCAAACAACUUCAAUCUAGCAUUUGUUGAGGCUGUUCGGGUGAUUGUGGACCGACACACAAGUCUUGAAAAAGGGAUACCUUAUGUCUUGUUCAAAACAAGGGUAUGCCUUAUUCUCUGUCUGUGCAACCACUGCAGCGGCUGCUGCAGCUGCUGCCACGCAAGGCGGCUGCCUUACAUCACAAGGCUGAUGCUGCAUGCUUCCAUGCUCCUGCUGAUGUUCUGGUCUACGCUGAUGCUGCUACUACGCUCUACGCCACUGCUGCUAAUCUGCUCUACGCUACUGUUGUAAUAUUAUUACAAUCAGUCUGUUUACAAUGUAAAACUAUGUUUUGUUUUUUUUUUUUUUUUUUGAAUUAAAAUUGUAAUGUUACAGCUUUAUUUUUCAAUGAAGUUAUAAGUUAUAUAUAUGUAUGUGUUUAUA